GCAACGAUGACUUUGUGGUUUUGACAGCAAUGAAAAAACACGACUGAAUCCUCUAAGAAGUUCUGAGCUC